CUGGUACCUUUGGUGCCCGAGUUGUAAUUUGGAGAGUACCACUUUGGGACUGUACUUUGCCUAUGUUCCUUGGAACAGGACGUCAUGGAGGGUGAGAAUCCCGUGUGGCGAGGGUGUCAGUUCUUUGUAAAGGGUGCUCGAAGAGUCGAGUUGUUUGGGAAUGCAGCUCUAAGUGGGUGGUAAAUUCCAUCUAAAGCUAAAUACAGGCGAGAGACCGAUAGCGAACAAGUACAGUGAUGGAAAGAUGAAAAGAACUUUGAAAAGAGAGUGAAAAAGUACGUGAAAUUGUUGAAAGGGAAGGGCAUUUGAUCAGACAUGGUGUUUUGCGCCCCUUGCCUCUCGUGGGCUUGGGACUCUCGCAGCUCACUGGGCCAGCAUCGGUUUUGGCGGCCGGAAAAAACCUAGGGAAUGUGGCUCUGCGCCUCGGUGUAGAGUGUUAUAGCCCUGGGGAAUACGGCCAGCCGGGACCGAGGACUGCGAUACUUGUUAUCUAGGAUGCUGGCAUAAUGGUUAUAUGCCGCCCGUCUUG
rnacentral:rRNA from 1 species